rnacentral:lncRNA from 1 species
GGUCGGGACUGCAUCUAGGGAUUACAUGGUGGGGUUCAUGCAGCAGGUGUCUGGGGAUUGCAGGGUAACAUGCACUUUAGCAGGGUUUUAAAUUGUUGGGGGCACUGGCGGGAUGAGUGGAUAUUGUAUAGUGCCUGUUUUGUAGCGCAGGAUCUCCGCGCGGUGCUGAUGGAUGUCGGGUCAAGCCGAUUGGUUGGCUUGAUUUCUGCCGAUCGAUUCAUGUGUGUGGAGAUGGUUUCCGCCACUCUGCCCCUUCUCGGGUCGUGCUGUUUGCGGGGGGGCUUUGGCUGGUUCCAGUUUGUGGUUGU